CUACGGGGUGCUGCAGUGGGGAAUAUUGCACAAUGGGCGCAAGCCUGAUGCAGCCGUGCCGCGUGUAUGAAGAAGGCCUUCGGGUUGUAAAGUACUUUCAGCGGGGAGGAAGGGAGUAAAGUUAAUACCUUUGCUCAUUGACGUUACCCGCAGAAGAAGCACCGGCUAACUCCGUGCCAGCAGCCGCGGUAAUACGGAGGGUGCAAGCGUUAAUCGGAAUUACUGGGCGUAAAGCGCACGCAGGCGGUUUGUUAAGUCAGAUGUGAAAUCCCCGGGCUCAACCUGGGAACUGCAUCUGAUACUGGCAAGCUUGAGUCUCGUAGAGGGGGGUAGAAUUCCAGGUGUAGCGGUGAAAUGCGUAGAGAUCUGGAGGAAUACCGAUGGCGAAGGCGGCCCCCUGGACGAAGACUGACGCUCAGGUGCGAAAGCGUGGGGAGCAAACAGGAUUAGAUACCCCGGUAGUC
rnacentral:rRNA from 1 species